UACGGGGGGGGCAAGCGUUGUCCGGAUUUACUGGGCGUAAAGGGCGUGCAGGCGGUUUGUUAAGUUCAGGGUGAAAGCUCCCGGCUCAACUGGGAGAGGUCCUUGGAUACUGGCAGACUUGAGGAGGGUAGAGGAGAGUGGAAUUCCCGGUGUAGUGGUGAUAUGCGUAGAUAUCGGGAGGAACACCAGUGGCGAAGGCGGCUCUCUGGGCCCUACCUGACGCUGAGACGCGAAAGCGUGGGGAGCGAACCGG
rnacentral:rRNA from 1 species